UACGUAGGAGGCGAGCGUUGUCCGGAUUUACUGGGCGUAAAGCGCGCGCAGGCGGCAUGGCAAGUAAGGUGUGAAAUCUCCCUGCCUAACGGGGAGGGUGCAUUUUAGACUGCCAAGCUAGAGGACGGUAGAGGGGGAUGGAAUUCCGCGUGUAGCAGUGAAAUGCGCAGAUAUCUUGAGGAACACCGGUGGCGAAGGCGGGUCUCUGGGCCGAUACUGACGCUGAGGAGCGAAAGCGUGGGGAGCGAACAGG
rnacentral:rRNA from 1 species